CAGAGAGUAGUUUAAGAAGAAUUUCAGCUUUGGGUGCUGAUAGUGGGACGUCAGGUCUCCUCUUUGA
rnacentral:tRNA from 2 species